GCUAAGGGAUAGGUGGAAUGAGUUGGCGUGCACAUAAUCGGCUCCGUUAGAUUUGCGGUCUCUCGGCGGCGGAGGGACUCCAGCCGAGCUCGUUACUAGGCGUUCUCCUCCUUUCUUUUCUCCGCCGCCGCUCAGAUCUCCCGCAGUUUAUUUUCCACUUGCCUUUGCCGGAGGCGUUCCAAUCGCCAUCGAUGGAGGGGAACCACUGGAGGCCCGCCCAGGCAGAGCCCUCCGCCACCGACGGCGCCGAGGCCGGGGACUGGCGGAGCCAGCUGAACCGCCGCAUGCGGCAGCAUGUCGUCGACAAGAUAAUGAUUAUCUGAGGAAACCUUCUGAGAGAAUGUUGUAUAUGGUGACAGACUCAGCAUACUCCUCCAAACCAAAAUCCCACAGACCCAGGUAUUGAUAUGAUAGAACAUAGUGCUUCUUAUCAAUGCAAUGUCGCAAAAGAUUUAAAUUAUACAUUUUUGGACAUUGGAGAACCGUUGUAUGCUUGGCAUCUAGAAGAAACUCACAAAUACUGCUCCAUUUGUUUUAGCAUAUUGUUGUUUAUUUUGACUUUUUAUUUUGAUUUAUAGUCGACGUGAGGCAGAUAAAUGCUCUUAUCUUUUCUCUACAAGUGAAAUAUCAUUUGAUGUUGCACCACUUAUAUUC